CUUUGUCAUUAUGGAGUAUUGUGUGUAGAUUAAUGAGGAAAAAAAAAUAUUUCAUCCAUUUUAGAAUAAGGCUUUAACGUAACAAAAUGUGGAAAAAGUCAAGGAGUCUGAAUAGUUUCCGAAUGUUGUCAAAUCUGUCAGUGGCUUGUCAACUCCGUCACUGAUGGCUAACACCCUUAAGAUCAAUUUUCUUGUCAAUAUUCUGAAAAAAUUAUUGAAUUACUGUUCUGCAACAUAUGCGUAAACUAUUGAAGGAUUUUCUGUGCUCAGCUUGAGGGAUAAUGUUUGCUUUAAAUAAAUAAAUAAAUAAAUGUUGUUUUAUGUUUUAAAUCUAGAAAAACAUGCCAGAAUGCUAACAUAAUUAGCCAUGGAGCAUUUAAUAGUGCUAUUAAAGAAAACACAAAGACGUUUGGACAUGUGUAUUACAUAUUGAAUAAUCUAAUGUUAGAAUUAAACAAUCAAGGCCUUUAAACAUUUGUUGGACAAUAAUUAUAAAAAAUAAAUGCUUUUUAUGGUGUCUGACGGAGUUGACAUAAGUCCAUUUUAAGGUAUUAUUUUUUCGCUUUAUUCAACCCACCCUCCCUUCAUCCACACAAUAUUUAAUGACCCUAAACCCAUCCGCGGACUGCAGGUUAUGAGUCAACCUCACUAGCAUGUAAUUCAAACUUGUAGUGUAUUUGAGGUUUAAAAAGGCUUCUAAAGUUUGUCAUUUCCACUUUAAAAUGUCAAACUUGAUUUGCCCUAAUGAAAAAUGUAUCAACCCCUACAAAUGUAUUCAAUUAUAAUCCACAUAGUAAUUCACAUUUCUGUUGCUGUAGGAUUAUUUUCCUGCUGUAGCAAACUGCUCAAAUGAAGACCCUACAUCUGUAGAAACAUACGUGUUUCACUGCACCUGUAAAAACAUCUACUGGACACCCCUAUCCCGCCCAGGCGGAGGCGCACAUAGUUCCACACCUUGAUGCUCCCACGUCGGAUCUUCUGGCCCACAGCCAGCUCCAGGAAGAAGAGUGGGAUGCCGAUGAGGAUGAUGAAGUAUGGGACGAGGUUUAUGAUGCCCCCUUUCCCCCAAUACCUUUCCCCCUUCUCUCUCCACUCUACAAAAAUGGACUUAUGAAAAUCUAUUGUUACCAGAGAGAGAGACUUUGCAAUACAGUAACAUCAAAAGGUUGGGUAUGGAACAAUAUUUCUGUAAUCCAACCAGUUGAAAGUAUCUGUUGGUACUUAAAACAUUAAUAUUAAAAGAAUAUUUGUCACUUGUCAUUUGUCAUUUGUUCUGACCUUUAUUUCCUUUGUUUUGUCUUUAUUUAGUAUGGUCAGGGCGUGAGU